CAUUUCCCAGCAGUCCCCAAAUGGCUGUUUCUGUGGGGACACAGCAGCUGCCUCAUUUCCCUUCAGGCCCCAUGGGUUGCUGGUCAACCUCAGGAUCUACUAAAGAUGAUGCAAAUGCCGACUGAACAAUCUGAAACCCAAAGGACUCGAGGAGAGACAUGUUCUGCUGAGGAGAGAAAGGGCCAAGCAGCCAAAGUACAGGGAUUGAAAGCAACUCUAUACUACUCAGUCGGCUGGGUGUCCCCACCCUAGGCCCCAGACAAGCUGGGCCAAGAGACAACCCUGGCUGCUCUGCCUUGCCCGGCCCACACUGGAGUCCUCCACCAAUCAGCAGCUUCCUGCCUGGGUCCAGAGAGCCAUGCCGGGAAGGGAGGUCUGUGAUGGGAGCAUGGAGCAUGCCAUCUCUGCUGUUUCUACCAUCUGCCAAGCCCCUGGCCUCGUCCCCAAGGCAACAACAAUGUGACAUACCACAAAACAACCUGAAUCAACAAGUGAAGGUGGGCCUGGGGAGCUUUCUGCAAACCAACUCCCAAGUCAGAGGAGUCAGAUAGCUCAUUAUUGACAUGCAUCUCACAACCAUAGCCAGAGGCUCUCCAGAAAGGGCCACUCACAGUAACUAACCACCCCUAUUGUGAGAGAAGCCAGACAUUGGCUCCCACCGGCCCACUGGGUCAAAAGAGGAGAAAGCAUUCAGCCGCAGCUCCACACCAUCCUAAAGGGCAGCAGGCAGUGACAGGCCCAUAGUGACUCAUCAUGCAGGGUUCUUCUUCUGCCCAGGGCCCGGGGCAUCCCUGCAGGGCUCCAGACAGUGGGGGCUGGCCAGGAGGAAGGGAGGAGGGCUGGGGAAGAGGAGGCGGAGGCUGGAUCUCGGCAGUGCCCUAAAGCCUCACUCACUGCCCUGGAGUGAGAUACCCACUGUGACUUUUGUCCUAGAGGCCACUGCCACUCAGAUCUCUGAGUCUCCUCAAGGCAGCCAGAAAACUGGCAGCCUUCCCGCCUCCCCACACCCAGCCCAGCGCCCCCACAACACAGUCUGCGCAGAGAAGCAAAGUGCAGAGCAAGGGAUCGCUUGCCUUUGUUGCCAUAGGUCCUGGCGCAGUGGAACGCUGCUCCCCCAUUCAGGAUGGGCUCCUGGUGCCUGGAGACCUGGGGAAGGGGAACACCGUGGUGGGUUUUAACAUGGACCUUUAAGUAGGAGGCAGAGGAGAAACCUAAACAAGACAAAAGGAGAUGAGAUCCCGCGGCCAGCAAGAGAUACCUCUCUCCUUCCCCCACUCCUCUCCUCUGGCCGCUCUGGCUAGCAUUCCCAGGUCAGCUGCACCUAGAAGGGGCCCCCUCCUGGCUCAAAAAUGGCUGCAACCACAUGAGCCAUGUGACUCACGAUGGAGGGUGGCACUGUCCACAAAUUGGCUUCUCUGCAGAGCCCACUCUGCAAGGCUGCAGUGAGGGGCCGAGGCUGGCCGCCUGAUGGAAUGGCCUGAGAUCCUGCUCCUGCUAGGGCCAGAGGCCAACUGCCUCUAGGGUUGCUUGGUGCCUCAGUAACAGGUGGUUUAAGUGGAUGUCUCCUGUAGGAACCAUGACUAGAAAUGUGGUUAGACAAGAAUUUGGGGCUCCAGGGAAGCCACAGGAUUCUAGCCAGCAGGAUGCCUGCUUAAUCCUUGUAAAAGGAACUGGACAACAAGCGAGAUGGAGGUAAAAUGAAAUCCCAAAGGAACGCCUCCAAGGAUCCCGUCUUCUACCUGUCAGGAGAUGUUCUAUUUUUCUAACUUCCCCACCUUCAGCAUAACAGGAUUUAGUAACUGUUUAGACCUUUUGAAGAACAAAGACAAAAAUAGGAAGUUGUGUCAGAGGAGUGCAGUCAUCUCUUAUUCAUGGUAGUGUUUUGGUUCGAUUUUGGAGCAUCCACCAGGUUUGCAUACAGGAGAAGAAACAGGGAUGAUCUCUGUCUUUAUUUUGGGGGAGGACAAUCCGGCCUUCUUGGGACUGUUCCAGCCCACCUCCCAGAUGCUUCGGUCAGUCUGAGCCACGAGAUAUCUCAGGCUGGGAUGAACAGAUCUUGGGCCAACUUCCAUAGCAGCCAUGUGUCCAAGGAUACAGAAUCAGGCAGGCUGAUAAAAGGAUUUUGACUUGGGUUUCACAGGAAGGAGGUAUGCCAUCAAACCCCACUGUAGUCAAGGAUCAGAAGGUGCUUUUAGCAGGAACUGAAGCUUUUUAGUAUAAGGCCCACUUAGGGUGCCAGCACCCUGACAGUGUCCCUUUAAUCCACUUCAGAUCGGGUUGACUCAUUAUCAGGUGUUUCCAUUCACUUUCAAAAUUACACAGUCACAGGAUAACAGUGAGAUCCACUGCUAAAGGGUAAAGGGUCAGAGGCUGAAGAGUACUGUGUAAUGUCUGCAUGAGAUUUGUUUUAAGAGAGUCUGAAUUGGCAUGGCAUUUUGAAUGCUGCUGGAACUGUAAUAAAGGUUCACCUUUAGCAAGUGCUGAUGGCACAUCAGGGCCCAGCACACUGCAUGCACUAUUCUACA